GACGAACGCUGGCGGCGUGCUUAACACAUGCAAGUCGAACGGAAAGGCCCUGCUUUUGUGGGGUGCUCGAGUGGCGAACGGGUGAGUAACACGUGAGUAACCUGCCCUUGACUUUGGGAUAACUACAGGAAACUGGGGCUAAUACCGGAUAGGAGCUCCUGCUGCAUGGUGGGGGUUGGAAAGUUUCGGCGGUUGGGGAUGGACUCGCGGCUUAUCAGCUUGUUGGUGGGGUAGUUGCUUACCAAGGCUUUGACGGGUAGCCGGCCUGAGAGGGUGACCGGCCACAUUGGGACUGAGAGACGGACCAGAAUCCUACGGGAGGCAGCAGGGGGGAAUAUUGCACAAUGGGCGGAAGCCUGAGGCAGCAACGCCGCGUGCGGGAUGACGGCCUUCGGGUUGUAAACCGCUUUCGCCUGUGACGAAGCGUGAGUGACGGUAAUGGGUAAAGAAGCACCGGCUAACUACGUG
rnacentral:rRNA from 1 species